UAUGGCCACAUCACAAUGAAACACUGGUUUCCUGUAUGAUCCCUGAAGUUAAGCAAUAUUGAACCUGGUCAGUUCCUAGAUGGGUGACUGCUUGGGAAUACCAGGUGCUGUAAG